AUACUUACCCGGCAGAGGGGAUGCCACGAUCAGAAAGGUGUUUUCCCAGGGCGAGGCUCACCCAUUGCACUUGGGGUGUGCUGACCCCUGUGAUUUCCCCAAAUGCGGGAAACUCGACUGCAUACUUUGUGGUAGUGGGGGACUGUGUUUGUGCUCUCCCCUA
rnacentral:snRNA from 1 species